rnacentral:other from 1 species
CUAUGUUGCAGACAGCGGCCUACAUUAUUUGUUGUACUGUAGGUGACGCUAUGUUUGUGUCUUUUUUUAUAAAGGUAAGUUUGAUGUCAAAAAUUAAAGGUAACGUUAAGUGGUUUAAUGAAUCCAAAGGAUUUGGUUUUAUUACUCCAGAAGAUGGUAGCAAAGAUGUUUUUGUACACUUUUCCGCCAUUAAAUCUAGUGGGUUCAAAACUCUGGCUGAAGGUCAAAAAGUAGAGUUUGAAAUUACUGAGGGCGACAAAGGUCCAUCUGCUGCGAACGUUGUCGCAAUCUAAUUUCAAAUCCCAUAUUUUUAAUACCCGUCUUUUAGGACGGGUUUUUUUA